GCCUUUAGAAAGGAUCGUAGUUUCUCAAACUGGUCCAGUGGUCGUCAUGAAAAGGAUACAAUUAUAGUCGUGUCCUUAGUCAAAUUAUUGUCUAAAGUUUGAUCGAGCUUAUAGAAAACGGUGCUAACAUUUAUAGCACAAACAUGCUUCAUAAGGAACCUGAUGGCACUUGUUUGUAAAUAUUGUUAUUUUUUUUAUAAAUUUGAUCAAUUUCAAAACGGUGUAUCUCGAUACUAUGCUAGAAUUGUAUUCUUUGCAUGAUGGAUGGAGUAGUUUAGAAGUUGGUCUGUAUAUCGGAUAAAUAACAUCAACAAGUUAAAAAAAUAGAAGCAUUGGUUACACAAGAGUUGCAGUUGCACUUUGUUGCUAGCUUGUUUUCCAUUUUACAAAAGACAAGAAAAAGACCUCAAUAAGGAAAAAAGAAAUUUAUGAUUAAAUUGACAAAGUUUUAUUCUAUUGUCGCGCAAACAUCACACCCACAACCACAUUAUGUUGUUUCUAUCACCAUUAGUCCUACCACCAGUGGGAUAGAGCCAAACAAGAUCUUAAUGAGAACUUCAAUCACAUGAAGGCUUUUGACGACCACAUCACCACACCCAUACAAAGGACAAAUCCGUAGAAACACUUGAAAACAUCAAAGGUGGUGUGCCAUUCUGUUUCAUAAUCCAUUGACACAACCACCUCCCUUAUGAAGAAGACAUAUUACCGUAAUUCUUGGAUUGGACGAACCAUAGACCCUUCGCUAGUGCUAGAAGGAACACCAGACAAAGAGAGAAACCAAGGUCACUAUUCGGAGGGCGCUCAUACCUCCCUGUAAAUGCACAAACCCCAUCGAGAAUAUUGAAACUAAAAACUAACAAAUCCACUGAAGGAAGGAUUCCCACUUCUUCUCCUUACCAACAAUUCAAUGGAGAGAAAGAGGGAGUAAGUUCUCAAACUAUAAUUCGUUUUUCCUCCAUACCAUCAAUUCAGUGGAGAGAGAAAGAGAGAGGGGAUGAGUUCUCAUACUAAUUGAUUUACUAGCUAGUUGCUUAUUUGAGUUUCUCCUAUGAGAACUUGUUUUGAUCAAUUUAAUUGGGACUAUAUAUACAAUACAUUUAUCUUAUUGAAGUUAGAUACUUCUAGGAGCAUAAUCAUUACACUUUUAAGAGAUUUCAGCAAAAUAGUCAUGUAUGAUCGAGAACUUAGAACACUGUUCUAGAUAUGUGCACUAUAUCUAGAUAAGUAAAAACUAUAAAUCUAGAAAAACUAAAACAACUUAUAAUUUGGAAAAGAGAAAUACCAAAAAAAUUGUGGAUACAAAAUAUUUUGUAGUAUAUUCUCCUGAAAACAGAAAAAAAAUGUUUCACAAGAGAAUCACAAUUAAGUUUUCUCCAAGAAUGUUUCUUCGAGAAAGCGAAACCCCUACCAAAUGGACUUAUUACACUCAUUGUACUAUUAUUAAAUCAAGACCAUGUUCGGAACAAGUUAAAACAUGCACAGAGUGAAACAUUCUUCCUUGGUGUAUCAUCUAUAUAUUAUAUCGAAUAUUUAGACACAUACAUGUAUGAAUCUUGGAUGUUUGAGGCUUCAAUUCGUCAGAGUUGAGACCAAUCUACACACGGUACGGAGCACGUCCGUGGUUAUAUUCUGUUUGAAGUCUCUGAACCAAACGUCUCCAUUUUAUUAGGCACAAUCACGAUGGGCCACAGUUUGUUUUUAGAGAUGACUGAUCACACUAGAGAGAUGAACCCUCCAGAUCAGUUCGCAACCCAUCAACGCGUCGUGGAUACAAUAGAAUGCACUCCGAGUAGAUAUGAAUAUGAUACGAUGUGCAUGCAUGCAUCGGUGAUAAGUACUAAUUAUAACGCAGACGCCUCACGCCCCAGCCCAAAUUAAACAAAAAAAAAAGAAAAAAAAUAAUCAACCAAUCAGCACGCGGCGCCGAGCUCGGUCAAUAGGUCAGCGCACUUUUCAGGACAUGCAGGUGCUCUUUUAUAAAGAACAAGAUGAGGAAUUGAUGCGUGCAUUAGUUUAGCUAGUCUGAUUCAAAGCGUGUUCAUAUCGGUUAAGGCACUCUCUUCCUUGUUUAAUUGUGAGUAUUAUACUUAUACCCGCUCAUGCGUACAUUCAUUGAGGGAAGGGUGUUUUUGAUGUCUUGUCUCUGUCGCAGCAUUUUUGGCCAGCGGAUGCAAUAUACUCCCUCCGUCCACGAAAAAGUCAAUUUCUAGAGUUGUCCUAAGUCAAAUUUU
rnacentral:lncRNA from 1 species